UUUUCCAUAGCACUGACUUGUAAAUGCUAAUGUAUGUAAAUUAUGUAAAUAAUAAUAAUAAUAACAUGAAUUCAAAUUUUUUGCUCUAAGUAGUUAAUCAUCGCAACUUAGCUGGUCUUUGAACUCCGAAUUCCAGUAAUCGGAAUGUUGAGGAAAAGAAGCUGAAGAUAGACGAACACGAACGACUUUUCUUUGUAAGUACGAACUCCUGACCACCUGCAUAUCCAUAAGCUAUAUACGAACUACUUAAUAGUUUAUAAUUGAUUAAAGAACGACGUUUUCAAAACAACCACCGAACAAAACUAAUUCAAGAUAUUAUACAGAAGACAAGAUCCAACGUUGAUAAACUAGUAACCAAAAUUAAAUUACGGAAGAAGGCUUGGAGAUUUGUCCUUCCAACAAAAUGAACUAAUUCUGGUGUAUCCGCGUCUCAUCCUUCGACAUAACAUGUUGAUCAGUUAUGUCUUCUACUCAACCUAGCUGAUCUUUGAACUCAAACCUUCUGUACGUUGAACCAGAGCAGGAAAGUAGAAAAUACGAAGCUAAAGAUUCAAGAACACGAGUGAUUUCUCUUUUAAAAUUUGCUGGUCUUAGAACCAAGAUCUUCCAUCAGGCUGAUCAAGAGCCAGAAGCGAAAGAAGAUAAAACCGAAUAUAGAAGAAAAUGGAAUGACUUCGCCUUGUAAGGUAUCUGUAUUUAAAAUAUUAAGGACUGACAAUGUAUGUUUAAAUAGGGCAUUAAAAGCAAGGACUCAAAAUUUUUAUUACGGUUUGGAUUUGUUUACUGUUCAUUUAUUAUUCAUUCUAUCGUUUAGUUAAGCUAUGAAUGUUUAGUUUACAUUUAAAAGCUACCUCACAACCUAGUUAUACACACCAAUUUCACAUUGAAAUAAAUUAUAAGAUUUGCAUCAGUUUUCCAUAGAGUGACUUGUAGAUGCUAAUGUUUGUAAAGUAUGUAAAUAAUAAUAACAUGAAUUCAAAUCUCUUGCUCUAACUAGUUAAUCAUCGCAACG